CCUACGGGUGGCAGCAGUGGGGGAUAUUGCACAAUGGGGGGAACCCUGAUGCAGCGACGCCGCGUGGGUGAAGGAGCGUUUCGGCGCGUAAAGCCCUAUCGGCAGGGAGGAGGGAGGACGGUACCUGACUAAGAAGCCCCGGCUAACUACGUGCCAGCAGCCGCGGUAAUACGUAGGAUGCGAGCGUUAUCCGGAUUUAUGGGGUUUAAAGGGUGCGUAGGGGGAGCGUUAAGUAGGUGGUCAAAUUGAGGGGCUCAACCCCUUCCCGCCAUUGAAACUGGCGCUCUUGAGUGGAAGAGAAGUAUGCGGAAUGCGUGGUGUAGGGGGGAAAUGCAUAGAUAUCACGCAGAACCCCGAUUGCGAGGGCAGCAUGCCGGCUUCCUACGGACGCUGAAGCACGAAAGCGUGGGGAUCGAACAGGAUUAGAUACCCUGGUAGUC
rnacentral:rRNA from 1 species